rnacentral:rRNA from 1 species
GAUGAACGCUGGCUACAGGCUUAACACAUGCAAGUCGAGGGGAAACGCCGGGGAAGCUUGCUUCCCCGGGCGUCGACCGGCGCACGGGUGAGUAACGCGUAUCCAACCUGCCUCUGACUGAGGGAUAACCCGUCGAAAGUCGGCCUAAUACCUCAUGGCAUCGUCUGCGGGCAUCCAACGACGAUUAAAGAUUUCAUCGGUCAGGGAUGGGGAUGCGUCUGAUUAGCUUGUUGGCGGGGUAACGGCCCACCAAGGCUACGAUCAGUAGGGGUUCUGAGAGGAAGGUCCCCCACAUUGGAACUGAGACACGGUCCAAACUCCUACGGGAGGCAGCAGUGAGGAAUAUUGGUCAAUGGGCGGGUGCCUGAACCAGCCAAGUAGCGUGCAGGAUGACGGCCCUAUGGGUUGUAAACUGCUUUUAUGCGGGGAUAAAGUGAGGGACGUGUCCUUCAUUGCAGGUACCGCAUGAAUAAGGACCGGCUAAUUCCGUG